rnacentral:rRNA from 1 species
GAUGAACGCUGGCGGCGUGCUUAACGCAUGCAAGUCGAACGGAAAGGCCCAAGCUUGCUUGGGUACUCGAGUGGCGAACGGGUGAGUAACACGUGGGUGAUCUGCCCUGCACUUCGGGAUAAGCCUGGGAAACUGGGUCUAAUACCGGAUAGGACCACUUCUUGGAUGUUGUGGUGGAAAGUUUUUUCGGUGUGGGAUGAGCUCGCGGCCUAUCAGCUUGUUGGUGGGGUAAUGGCCUACCAAGGCGUCGACGGGUAGCCGGCCUGAGAGGGUGUACGGCCACAUUGGGACUGAGAUACGGCCCAGACGCCUACGGGAGGCAGCAGUGGGGAAUAUUGCACAAUGGGCGCAAGCCUGAUGCAGCGACGCCGCGUGGGGGAUGACGGCCUUCGGGUUGUAAACUCCUUUCGCUAGGGACGAAGCGUUUUGUGACGGUACCUGGAGAAGAAGCACCGGCUAACUACGUG